rnacentral:rRNA from 1 species
GAAUUCAACUCCUACGGGAGGCAGCAGUAGGGAAUAUUGGACAAUGGGCGAAAGCCUGAUCCAGCAAUGCCGCGUGAGUGAUGAAGGCCUUAGGGUUGUAAAGCUCUUUUACCCGAGAUGAUAAUGACAGUAUCGGUAGAAUAAGCUCCGGCUAACUCCGUGCCAGCAGCCGCGGUAAUACGGAGGGAGCUAGCGUUGUUCGGAAUUACUGGGCGUAAAGCGCACGUAGGCGGCGAUUUAAGUCAGAGGUGAAAGCCCGGGGCUCAACCCCGGAACUGCCUUUGAGACUGGAUUGCUAGAAUCUUGGAGAGGCGAGUGGAAUUCCGAGUGUAGAGGUGAAAUUCGUAGAUAUUCGGAAGAACACCAGUGGCGAAGGCGGCUCGCUGGACAAGUAUUGACGCUGAGGUGCGAAAGCGUGGGGAGCAAACAGGAUUAGAAACCCUUGUAGUCCAGGCGUU